GACCUGUUGCAUCUGGAGGAUACUGUUCCCGCGGAGUCGUCUUCCUCCUGAGGUGGUAUGCAGAGGGCAUUCUAGUGCCAUGAAUGCUCAUCAGUAUGGGGAAACCCUACAGCUAGGAGUGUUCAUGACGAUGUUGCCCAACUGGAACAAGAGCAAAGCCUGCGUUAGACGAGUGUUCGUAAGCAUUGCCAUAAGUUGGUGACCAGUAGUAAUGCCUUUUAAGGCCAUUGGAGACCUCUGCGAGGUAGACACGUCCAUCCACCACAUAUGGCUCCACAUCUGUACUGUCUGGCUUUAGCCGGCCACUCUCCAUCAAAUCUGAAUACGCCUAGGAUUUUUAGAAAACUGUCAUUAGUAAUAUCAUUUAUUCAGUUUACAGUGAUUGUGUAAACACAUAAUCAAUUUAGCUGUGCUAUUUUGUAGAUUAAAAUAAAAAUUCUUUGCUGGGCAA